rnacentral:rRNA from 1 species
UACAGAGGUCUCAAGCGUUGUUCGGAUUCAUUGGGCGUAAAGCGCGCGUAGGCGGGUUGGUAAGUCCGCUGUGAAAGCCCGGAGCUUAACUCCGGAGGGUCGGUGGAUACUGCCAGUCUUGAAGGUGCUAGGGGGAGAUGGAAUUACCGGUGUAGCGGUGAAAUGCGUAGAUAUCGGUAGGAACACCAGUGGCGAAGGCGGUCUCCUGGGGCAUUCUUGACGCUGAGGCGCGAAAGCUGGGGGAGCAAACGGG